rnacentral:rRNA from 1 species
CCUACGGGGGGCUGCAGUGGGGAAUUUUGGACAAUGGGGGCAACCCUGAUCCAGCCAUUCCGCGUGAGUGAAGAAGGCCUUCGGGUUGUAAAGCUCUUUCGCAAGGGAAGAAAACUUACUCAAUAACACUGGGUGAGGCUGACGGUACCUUGAUAAGAAGCACCGGCUAACUACGUGCCAGCAGCCGCGGUAAUACGUAGGGAGCGACCGUUAAUCGGAAUUACUGGGGCGGUUUCGUAAGCAGGCGGUGAAAUCCCCGGGCUCAACCUGGGAACUGCGUUUGAAACUACAAGGCUAGAGUAUGGCAGAGGGGGGUAGAAUUCCACGUGUAGCAGUGAAAUGCGUAGAGAUGUGGAGGAAUACCAAUGGCGAAGGCAGCCCCCUGGGUCAAUACUGACGCUCAUGCACGAAAGCGUGGGGAGCAAACAGGAUUAGAUACCCCGGUAGUC